rnacentral:rRNA from 1 species
GAAGAACGCUGGCGGCGCGCUUAACACAUGCAAGUCGAGCGAAGCGGCGGACGGGUGAGUAACACGUGAGUAAACUGCCUUAGACAUUGGGAUAGCCUCGGGAAACCGGGAUUCAUACCAAAUGGUCUAAGAUGGACUCGGGUCCCAUUAGCUAGUUGGUGGGUAACGGCCCACCAAGGCGACGAUGGGUAGCCGGCCUUAGAGGCUGAACGGACACAUUGGAACUGGGAAACGGUCCAAACGCGUCGGGAUGCAGCAGUGGGGAAUAUUGAACAAUGGAGGGAACUCGGAUGCAGCUACGCUGCGAGAACGAAGAAGGCUUUCGAGACGUAAAGUUCUUUUAUAUGGGAAGCGGUACCAUAAGAAAAAGCCCCGGCUAACUACGUGCCAGCAGCCGCGGUAAUUC